rnacentral:piRNA from 1 species
UUAUAGUUCUGAGGAAGACUCUCCGAUUC